CCCCACAUUGACUGACUGUUCCAGAGAGGGUACCUCCUACUCACCAAACGGCACAGGAGAUAGUUACAAACUCUCACAUUCUUCUGAGUCGGUAACCUGGCAGCUAGCUACAAUCAGAGCCUGCUCUCCAGCAUGUUCAUUCCCAGCAAUUAACCUGGAGGUGUCAAAGAUUCAAAUCCCACACAAACUGCUUGUGAAUUCAUAAAAUCUAGCAUUUUGGCAUAUUUUGUUUUGAAAGCUUUCAGGGUCCUUUCCCCUGUCGUGACUCCAGAAUCUGUGCCUUCGGGGCACUCUCUACCUGAUGAGAAAUAAAAGCGGCCCUCACUGCCUCAAAUAGGAACACAUUUCAAAACAUAUCGGAAUUAGAGGGCUAUAGGAAGCAAGGCGGAACUCAAGGAGUUAACGGAAAAGAUGUAAAUUUCGAACUGGAGGAGACUACGGACCAGUGGGGGCUGAGCGAGCAGCCUACACGCGAGUCAUGGCUGACUCAUCCACAUCACGAUGAAAGAAGAGGAUAAUUAACAAAUAAUCAUCCCAGCAGCGAGUGUUCAUGUUUGAGACACAGAGAUCUUUGUGGGUUGAGGGUAUCAAAGGGCAUGGAUUACAGGUAUGUGCCGUUCAAUCUGAUUGGAACCAAGAAUGGAGCUCAGCAGGAAAGGUGCUUUCAUCGACUGCGGCGCCAGUUCACGGAAAACAUGAGCAGAGAGCUACGUGAAUUUUAUGUUGUGCACUCAGUCUGAAUCUGCAGUGGCUCAUUUCAAACUGAAAUGUGGUGAAAUCACAUCUGAAGUUGUGUGUAAUUUUGGUCUCCCUGUUUCAAUAAAGUAUAUAGAGAUCUGUAACUCAGAAAUAGAUAUGACAACACUAUAUGGUACAUACAUCAGAGGAACAAGCCAGUCAGUCCAGUUACUCUACACAUACCUUUUUUUCCAUUUCUUCCACCUCACCCCUUAAGGGAAUCUUUCUAUUCCUUUUUCUCUUACAUACUCCUCUCGUUUCCUUUUGAAAGUAUCUAAGCUAUUUGUCUCAAGCACUUACAGUGAUGACUAAUUCUAUAUUCUACCCACCUUGUGUGUGAAGACAUUUCUGUUUAUAUCACUACUAGAUUUCCUAGUAACUAUCUUACACAUAUGGCCUCUAGUUUUGAAUUAUCCCACAAGUGGAAGCAUUCUAUCUACAUCUACUGUGCCAACCCUUCUUCCUAAGAGUUCCAUCUUAAUCAUUCAUUUCAUCACACUUCCAGCCUAACCCAUAACCAUGACAUCUUCUGUCUCUUCUUAGUUACUUUCUUCAACACAAUCUUCACUGACCCCUAAUGUGCUGAUUUCUGAUUUUCCUUCCUAUUAUUCCACAUCUCAGCAUCAAUAUCCAGUCACAGUUUCUCUUCUUCAUCUUGCCCAAGUUUAUGCAUCUAAUAACAUGGCUGGUCUCAUAGUUGCC